UACGGGGGGGGCAAGCGUUGUUCGGAAUUACUGGGCGUAAAGGGCUCGUAGGCGGCCCUCUCAGUCGGAUGUGAAAUCCCCAGGCUUAACCUGGGAACGGCAUCCGAUACUGGAGGGCUUGAAUUCGGGAGAGGGAUGCAGAAUUCCAGGUGUAGCGGUGAAAUGCGCAGAUAUCAGGAGGAACACCGAUGGCGAAGGCAGGUCUCUGGGCCACUACUGACGCUGAGAAGCGAAAGCGUGGGGAGCGAACAGG
rnacentral:rRNA from 1 species